AGCAUAUCAAUAAGCGGAGGAAAAGAAACCAACAGGGAUUGCCUCAGUAACGGCGAGUGAAGCGGCAACAGCUCAAAUUUGAAAUCUGGCUCUUUCAGGGUCCGAGUUGUAAUUUGUAGAAGAUGCUUCGGGUGUGGCUCCGGUCUAAGUUCCUUGGAACAGGACGUCAUAGAGGGUGAGAAUCCCGUAUGUGACUGGGUGCCUUCGCUCAUGUGAAGCUCUUUCGACGAGUCGAGUUGUUUGGGAAUGCAGCUCAAAAUGGGUGGUAAAUUUCAUCUAAAGCUAAAUAUUGGCCAGAGACCGAUAGCGCACAAGUAGAGUGAUCGAAAGAUGAAAAGCACUUUGGAAAGAGAGUUAAACAGUACGUGAAAUUGUUGAAAGGGAAGCGCUUGCAACCAGACUUGCACGCGGUUGAUCAUCCGGUGUUCUCACCGGUGCACUCUGCCGCGUUCAGGCCAGCAUCGGUUUUGGUGGUUGGAUAAAGGCCUAGGGAAUGUAGCUUCUUUCGGGGAGUGUUAUAGCCCUAGGUGCAAUGCAGCCUACUAGGACCGAGGACCGCGCUUCGGCUAGGAUGCUGGCGUAAUGGUUGUAAGCGACCCGUCUUGAAACACGGACCAAGGAGUCUAACAUCUAUGCGAGUGUUUGGGUGUCAAACCCAUACGCGUAAUGAAAGUGAACGGAGGUGAGAACCCUUAAGGGUGCAUCAUCGACCGAUCCUGAUGUCUUCGGAUGGAUUUGAGUAAGAGCAUAGCUGUUGGGACCCGAAAGAUGGUGAACUAUGCGUGAAUAGGGUGAAGCCAGAGGAAACUCUGGUGGAGGCUCGCAGCGGUUCUGACGUGCAAAUCGAUCGUCAAAUUUGCGCAUAGGGGCGAAAGACUAAUCGAA
rnacentral:rRNA from 1 species